rnacentral:rRNA from 1 species
UACGUAGGGCGCAAGCGUUGUCCGGAAUUAUUGGGCGUAAAGAGCUCGUAGGCGGUCUGUUGCGUCUGCCGUGAAAACCCGAGGCUUAACCUCGGGCCUGCGGUGGAUACGGGCGGACUAGAGGUAGGUAGGGGAGAAUGGAAUUCCCGGUGUAGCGGUGAAAUGCGCAGAUAUCGGGAGGAACACCGGUGGCGAAGGCAGGUCUCUGGGCCACUACUGACGCUGAGAAGCGAAAGCAUGGGGAGCGAACAGG